CUAGCCAUUGAUGGCAAGCGCUGGAGUGAACGUGUUAAACAAUAACGAUACUGGAGGUCGGUUUAGGACCACCCCGACUUUUCCAAAAUAAAGGCAUACCGUGUAUUACAGCUGUUGCGGCACAAAUUUCAUGCACCAAAUCCAUCCUGGAGGACAUGCAGCUGAAACACCAGCGAUUGAAUAAUUAAUUAGCGGGGAUGUCCAUAAGAUGAAACGAUUAGUAACGAUAUAUUACGGCUAAGCUGAGGAGGAUGAACAGAAUGCUGUUGCUACUGCUCUUUCUCCCGCAUUAUAACGUAUGGAAAUCUCGGCUAGAGUAUGUGAUAAAAACAUCAACCAUCAUCCCUCUUCCAUCGCUAAGCAAUUCAUCGCUGUACUCAUUCAAUUGUCAUGCCGAUCGUCGAAGCUGCGAAAGUUUCAGCACGGAUAGUGUGGUACUUGUUAGAUCCAUAUCUUCCGUAUCCAACAUCGGUGAAUGUAUUGCUGAAAAAGCCAAACCAACAAGCUCAUCUCACCACAAUCGUCAGCAGAUGGUUCUACCCCCGAAGAUAGCUGCUGCUGUUGUCGUUUAAAGCACGAAUGCAACGAAGAUAUCUGGGUAGAGUGCGAAGACAUUUAAUUUCACCGGUGCACAGGAGGGUAGCAACAUUUUGAACUACAUAUUGGAGAUAAGAAAAGUGGUACAUAAGAGUGCG